rnacentral:rRNA from 1 species
UACGAAGGGGGCUAGCGUUGCUCGGAAUCACUGGGCGUAAAGCGCACGUAGGCGGAUUGUUAAGUCAGGGGUGAAAUCCUGGAGCUCAACUCCAGAACUGCCUUCGAUACUGGCGAUCUAGAGUCCGGAAGAGGUGAGUGGAACUCCUAGUGUAGAGGUGGAAUUCGUAGAUAUUAGGAAGAACACCAGUGGCGAAGGCGGCUCACUGGUCCGGUACUGACGCUGAGGUGCGAAAGCGUGGGGAGCAAACAGG